CUUGGUCAUUUAGAGGAAGUAAAAGUCGUAACAAGGUUUCCGUAGGUGAACCUGCGGAAGGAUCAUUAUCGAAUUGUAAGGAUUCAGUUGUCGCUGGCUCUCUCUGGGAGCAUGUGCACGCUGGAUUCAAACUCUUCAUUCUUAACCUCCUGUGCACCUUUUGUGGACUGUGGUCAGAUAACUCGUCGAGGUAACACUCGGUCUUGCACAUUGCGCCUAACCCGCGCUUUGUGCUGCAUCUGACUGCGGUUCAUGUCUUUACUACAAACUAUUAAUUAAAUCUAGAAUGUCUAAAGGUUGGGACUAGCGCCCUUCUUAAAUGUAAAUACAACUUUCAACAACGGAUCUCUUGGCUCUCGCAUCGAUGAAGAACGCAGCGAAAUGCGAUAAGUAAUGUGAAUUGCAGAUUUCAGUGAAUCAUCGAAUCUUUGAACGCACCUUGCGCCCUGUGGUAUUCCGCAGGGCAUGCCCGUUUGAGUGUCAUUAAAUCAUCAACUCUAAACACCUUGUGUGUCUAGUGCUUGGUCUUGAGGGUCUUGCAGGCGUCUAGACGUCUGCUCCCUUUAAAUCUAUUAGCGAGACUUCCCUUUGCUGACCGUCUCUUGGCGUGAUAGUUAUCUACGUCGAUAUGAGCGGUUCUCGUUGGGCUUGCUUCUAAUCGUCUUCGGACAGCCGAUUUGGGUGCAUAUAUGCGCUUCAUUUCAAACCUUUUUGACCUCAAAUCGGGUAGGACUACCCGCUGAACUUAAGCAUAUCAAUAAGCGGAGGAAAAGAAACUAACAAGGAUUCCCCUAGUAACUGCGAGUGAAGAGGGAUAAGCUCAAAUUUAAAAUCUGGCGGUCUUUGGCCGUCCGAGUUGUAAUUUAGAGAAGUGUUACCCGCGCUGGACCGUGUACAAGUCUCCUCGAACGGAGCAUCAUAGAGGGUGAGAAUCCCGUACAUGACACGGACUGCCAGGGCUUUGUGGUGCGCUCUCGACGAGUCGAGUUGUUUGGGAAU
rnacentral:sRNA from 1 species